UACGUAGGGUGCAAGCGUUAAUCGGAAUUACUGGGCGUAAAGCGUGCGCAGGCGGUUAUGUAAGACAGGGGGGAAAUCCCCGGGCUUAACCUGGGAACUGCAUUUGUGACUGCAUAGCUAGAGUACGGUAGAGGGGGAUGGAAUUCCGCGUGUAGCAGUGAAAUGCGUAGAUAUGCGGAGGAACACCGAUGGCGAAGGCAAUCCCCUGGACCUGUACUGACGCUCAUGCACGAAAGCGUGGGGAGCAAACGGG
rnacentral:rRNA from 1 species